GUCCACGCCGUAAACGAUGUCUGCUAGCCGUCGGGGUCCUUGAGGCCUCGGUGGCGCAGCUAACGCGAUAAGCAGACCGCCUGGGGAGUACGGCCGCAAGGUUAAAACUCAAAUGAAUUGACGGGGCCGCACAAGCGGUGGAGCAUGUGGUUUAAUUCGAUGCAACGUGAAGAACCUUACCAGGUCUUGACAUCCAGCGAACUGCCGAGAGAUCGGCGGGUGCCUUCGGGAGCGCUGAGACAGGUGCUGCAUGGCUGUCGU
rnacentral:rRNA from 1 species